GAAAUCCUAAAAUAAAUCCAGAAGAACGCGAGCACCGGAACUUAAACCCUGAUGGGCUGGGGAUAUCAUUGUCCUCCCAACCAUCCAAUCACAUGUCACAGGUUGGUUCUCUCCCACCCCACAUGCCAGAAGGAAGGUUUCUUACCAUAUGGCAACAAUUUACUCGCAACGAAAAUUGUGGCUUGCCACAUAUUUGGCCGAAAAAAGUGUCACAUCGGUAGACUCGGACCAAACAUGCCCUAGUGUUCAGAAGGAAACGCAGAGAACAAGGCGAAGAGCAAUGUGGUUCUCUGGUACUCCCUACGUUCUUGUUUAUAAAAGGUUACACCGUAGCUGGAUUAGUCUACGGACGAAUUAAAAGCUUGCAGCGGUAGAAAAUUUCCCUACGUUCUUGUUUAUCUCCUUUUUUUUAGUAACGUUUUUCUCCUUUUUCUUAGUCCACGGACUGGACGCACUCCACGCAACAAUUGGGAAACCGAGAAACAUUUGGGCCACACGGCCUAGUAAGUAGCACUUUCUUUUAAAGCCCAAGUUGGUAGGUAGUAUAACUUAACCCCGUCUAUUUUUAGCCACUUCUUCCAUUUUCGCCUUAGCCAACUCUAUCGUUUUCGCCGCAGCCGCCUGUACCAUCAUCGGCACCGCACGCGCAAAAUCGACAACCUGAGUGAUGGCACCGGGGUCACUGUAUUUGAUGCUGCGUGAUAGGAAUAGGAUAGAAGAAAGUUAGACAAGGCUCAAGAAAAGGAAGCUGCAGAGCAUAUUGUCGAGAAAAAUAGAGAAGCCAGAGCAUGAGCAUACCGUGGUAUCCUGACGCCAUCCCUCCCUACCCUAUCGUAGCGACUUGAUAGGAUAGAUGGAUAAUCCAAUUAGAGAAAACUAAUACCAAGUAAAGGAAGAUGCAGAUCGAUCCUCAAAUGAAGGAGGGAAGAGGAUCGCAUCACAGAGAGUUGUGAGAUCAUGAACAUACCUGUCGUCGGGUAGAUGAUCCGCUUCCCCGCCGGGCGUUUCCAUGCCCACUGCACGUUUCAACCGUUCCCAACCCGAGGCGACCAACCCAUCACCUUCCUUCUCCGGGAGCUUAUCGGCAUGAAACCCCUUCCCCCCCAUCGUACCGUACGCUUGCUAACGUCGAGAGCUAAUAUAACUGACCGUGGGUGCGAGUGCGAUGAUGGUGUUUGCGCAAGUGAGUGUGUGACAAGAUGGC
rnacentral:lncRNA from 1 species